GCUGGGUGCAGUGUGCAUGCCUGUAGUCCCAGCUACUUGGGAGGCUGAGGUGGGAAGAUCACUUGAGCCCAGGAGUUCUGGGCUGUAGUGCGCUAUACCGAUCGGGUGUCCACACUAAGUUUGGCAUCAAUGUGGUAACCUCCUGGGAGCAGAGGACCACCAGGAUGCCUAAGGAGUGGUGAACCAGCCCAGGUCAGAAAUGGAGCAGGUCAAAACUCCUGUGCUGAUCAGUAGUAGGAUUGCGCCUGCGAAUAGCCACUGCACUCCAGCCUGGGCAACAUAGCGAGACCCCCUAAU
rnacentral:SRP_RNA from 1 species